rnacentral:tRNA from 1 species
AGGAAGUUAGUCUAACCAAGACAGUUGAUUUCGACUCAACAGAUUAUAGCCCACACCCUAUAACUUCCUU